UACGUAGGGUGCAAGCGUUGUCCGGAAUUAUUGGGCGUAAAGAGCUCGUAGGCGGUUUGUCGCGUCUGCUGUGAAAACGCGGGGCUCAACUCCGCGCCUGCAGUGGGUACGGGCAGACUAGAGUGCGGUAGGGGAGACUGGAAUUCCUGGUGUAGCGGUGAAAUGCGCAGAUAUCAGGAGGAACACCGGUGGCGAAGGCGGGUCUCUGGGCCGUAACUGACGCUGAGGAGCGAAAGCAUGGGUAGCGAACAGG
rnacentral:rRNA from 1 species